CCUACGGGAGGCAGCAGUAGGGAAUCUUCCGCAAUGGACGAAAGUCUGACGGAGCGACGCCGCGUGAGUGAUGAAGGUCUUCGGAUCGUAAAACUCUGUUGUUAGGGAAGAAUAAGUAUAAGGCGAAUAACCUUAUACCUUGACGGUACCUAACCAGAAAGCCCCGGCUAACUACGUGCCAGCAGCCGCGGUAAU
rnacentral:rRNA from 3 species